GGAUUGUGGCUCAGUGGAGAGUGCUUGCCUCGCAUGCAUGAGGCACUUGGUUCAAUCCUCAGCACCA
rnacentral:tRNA from 1 species